rnacentral:rRNA from 1 species
UACGGGGGGAGCAAGCGUUGUUCGGAUUUACUGGGCGUAAAGGGCGCGUAGGCGGCCAGCACAAGUCAGUUGUGAAAUCUCCGAGCUUAACUCGGAAAGGUCAACUGAUACUGUGCGGCUAGAGUGCGGAAGGGGCAACUGGAAUUCUUGGUGUAGCGGUGAAAUGCGUAGAUAUCAAGAGGAACACCUGCGGCGAAGGCGGCACUCUGGGCCGGUACUGACGCUGAGGAGCGAAAGCGUGGGGAGCAAACAGG